GAUGAACGCUGGCGGCGUGCUUAACACAUGCAAGUCGAACGAAGCACCUUGAUUUGAUUCUUCGGAUGAAGAUCUUGGUGCCUGAGUGGCGGACGGGUGAGUAACGCGUGGGUAACCUGCCUCAUACAGGGGGAUAACAGUUAGAAAUGACUGCUAAUACCGCAUAAGACCACAGCACCGCAUGGUGCAGGGGUAAAAACUCGGGUGGUAUGAGAUGGACCCGCGUCUGAUUAGGUAGUUGGUGGGGUAACGGCCUGCCGAGCCGACGAUCAGUAGCCGACCGGGGGGGGUGACCGGCCACAUUGGGACUAAGACACAGCCCAAUCUCCUACGGGAGGCAGCAGAAGGGAAUAUUGCAGAAUGGGGGAAGCCCUAAUGCAGCGACGCCGCGGAAGCGAUGAAGUAUUUCGGUAUGUAAAGCUCUAUCAGCAGGGAAGAAAAUGACGGUACCUGACUAAGAAGCACCGGCUAAAUACGUG
rnacentral:rRNA from 1 species